rnacentral:misc_RNA from 1 species
GAUGAAGAACGCAGCGAAAUGCGAUAAGUAAUGUGAAUUGCAGAAUUCAGUGAAUCAUCGAAUCUUUGAACGCACAUUGCGCCCGGCAGUAUUCUGCCGGGCAUGCCUGUUCGAGCGUCAUUUCAACCAUCAAGCCCCCGGGUUUGGUGUUGGGGAUCGGGCUGUACUCCAGCCCGGCCCCGAAAUCUAGUGGCGGUCUCGCUGCAGCCUCCAUUGCGUAGUAGCUAACACCUCGCAACUGGAACGCGGCGCGGCCAAGCCGUUAAACCCCCAACUUCUGAAUGUUGACCUCGGAUCAGGUAGGAAUACCCGCUGAACUUAAGCAUAUCAAUAAGCGGAGGA